rnacentral:lncRNA from 1 species
UGAAGGCUUAUUCAACAGCACAGUCAGCAGAAGCAGGCUGCACUCUGUCGUCACCUUCGUUUUGUGCUAGCUGAUUUGUUGUCACGCAAGUAUUUUCUGCCAAGAGCUUUAACCUGCGUGUUCUUUGUUUCUACCCGUGGCUUAAUGACACGGGCAUGCUCUCUUUUGCUUCGUUGUUAAUCCGCGAUGCUUUGUACAAUCAUCAGCAUUGCUUGCAUCAAUGCGGGUUAGAUUGUCAUGUUGUGCAAUAGUAAAUAGGAAUCCAAGGGAGAAGUGUAGGAACCGGGCAUGGAAUCCCAUGUCUUACGUGUCAAUGGGCUGGCUGGACGGCUGCUCUGUUUUAUUGCUGCGAUGAGUUGUGCAAGUGAAGGGGAGCCUUAGCGCAGUAGUAAAUCUGCUGCCUUGUGACCAUGAGGUCACGGGUUCAAGUCCUGGAAACAGCCUCUUACAGAAAUGUAGGGAAAGGCUGCGUACAAUAGACCCAAAGUGGUCGGACCCUUCCCCAGACCUUGCGCAAGCGGGAGCUACAUGCACUGGGGCUGCCCUUUUUUUUUGAUGAGUUGUGCAAGUAAAUUUAGUCUAAUGCCCUAAAAUACCAGUAAAAAUUGUCAGUAAUCUUCAGAUGCAUGCUGGUUUUCAUUCUUCUUGUAAGUAUACGGUGAAGAUUUACAGCAGAGAUAUUUAUUUGAAUGGCUGCAUGAAAUGAAACAAGGCUCAUGCUCUUGCAUUGACAACUGGUGAUGCUAAUGCAAAUAUUUGUGGACUAGCCAUGACAUUACUUGUUUCUUUUCUGUGCAGUGCGUGUGUUAACUAAGCAUGUGUUCAAAAUAUGUUGGCGAUCUGAAAAAAUGCAUUUGUGUUAUAAACUCAAGUGAGUUGGUCAAAACCAACAACUCACAGUUUAAUGUAGAUUAACAGCUGAACUUAACUCUGCCAGUCCCUAAAAAAAACUCUGUCAGAAUUAUAUCUAAACACUUCAUGGUCAAUGUGC